AUGUUGGGUUGUUAUUGCUAGAGCUGCCCCCACAGCCACCACAACCACCACUCUCCACCAUAUUUCCAAGCGCAAAGCUGCCACCGCCACCGCUAUUCACCAUGCUUCCACAUCCACCACAACCGCCACCGCAACCACUACCACAGCCACCACUAUUCACCAUGCUUCCACAUCCACCACAACCGCCACCGCAACCACUACCACAGCCUCCACUAUUCACCAUGCUUCCACAUCCGCCACAACCGCCACCGCAACCACUACCACAGCCUCCACUAUUCACCAUGCUUCCACAUCCGCCACAACCGCCACCGCAACCACUACCGCAGCCUCCACUUUUUACCAUGUGGCGACAUCCACUGCCACAGCCGCCACCACAUCCUCCACUUUUUACUGCAUCCACAUUCAACCUUGCAAUAACUUCAGUCGAGUUAGACUGGUUGAUUUGUUCGGCCUCCUCAUGGAGACCGCUGACCUUUUCCACAUCACCAUCCAACUCCUUCAAACUUCCUCCUCUUAAUAUGAAGCCUCCAUAUCCUUCAUUCUUCAGAAUAUUAGCAAGUAUAAAGGCUGAAAUGAUCAUGGGCAACACCAACCAUUCUUCUUUUACCUGUUAAUUUGUUUUCAAAUUAAGGGUGAGGCGGGAAAAGGGGGCAAAACGAUGCUCUAACAAGAAAUUUUAAUCAGGUUUAAUAAUAAAGCAUAAAUAUACCUUGACAGUUCCAGACUUUAAGUUGAGCAAUGCCAUUGCUUUGCCAUAUGGAUCCUCUGUGGAAAACUCAACUGCAGUCANNNNNNNNNNNNNNNNNNNNNNNNNNNNNNNNNNNNNNNNNNGAGAAUGUGACUAGGGAUGACCAUACUAUGUAUUAUGCAAACCUCAAGCUUCUGGGACAGUUUGACUUCCCGUUUGGAGAGAUUUUCAUGAUGUCAAGUACCCAAUGUAUGAUGUAAUACCAAAUGUUCAGAUUGUCUAUGGUUGAAAAGGAAAAUUAUGAAUAAGAAUGCAUUUACAAUGAACAGUGAUGACUCUUUAAGGGGAAAAUGUGGUGGGAAAAAGAUGAUUACCAUCCUACUGCCCAUGAGCUCAAGGACAUGACCAUCUUCGCUGGAUUUUGCGAUAAGCUGAAGGCACCACUGAGAAUCCAGCAAAGACCACCAAGUCCCAACAUACUCUGCGAGUGCAAGUGUCUCACCAGACGUCAUUGCACCAAUUACUUGCUUCUUCUGAAUGCUCUUGUCUUUCGCCUUUUCUUUUGUUGAGUCCCUGGAAUGUAUCCAAGUUAGCAAAUGAUAAUAAAUGGUUUUCAGAAAACAUAUUAAUGUAUCAAUAUAGCAAUGUACCAAAUGAUUCUGAUAAUUCAUUAGAACCCAUCUUGCAAAUAUUCCAAUGCAAUGUUAACAGAAAAGGACAAAUUCUCCUUAUCUAGUGCAUAUGAAUUAUACAGAUCAACAGAAGUAAUAAACCAGCUAGAUUACAAUGAUGAAUUACAGUAUCCGUAUGUGAAGUUUCAGUAGGAGAACAUUUGCAGAAUCGUUACUAGCUUGUUUUAUCACGCUGUUGUGGAUGUAAUCUUUGAACAUUAUAUUUGUUUAAUUAGUAGAUUUAAGGUUUCACAGUAGUAUUCGACUCGUAUAUGCAUUGAUUUCACUAAACAUGAAAGGACCUAAAGAUAGGAUUAAGCUUGUUUACUAGCAUAAGAGAGGGACACAAGGAUACCUCAUAUUCAGGCUGAUGAUCUCAGUACCAUUUUCAUCAACAAUGUGUGUCCAGCUCUUAGCAUAUUGAACUCUCCCAGGAAUAGGGAAUAAACAAGAAUUUUUUAACAGUGAUCGGGAAUGAACCAUGUGGAGGACAUGUGGUGCUUGUACAGGAGCAGUAGAUGAGACAGCAAUUCGUAGGCGGAUUGGCUUUGAGCUCAGAUUGCCAGAACUUGGCAGCAAUUCCACCCAUUUUUCAACAGAAAGUUUAGAUACAGGAUUCAGGAAAUCAUGCAGAGAUAAUGAAGAAGUACCCAUUGUUUUAAAUGCCUUGGUCAGUAGUAAGUUAGAAGGCGAACAAGUAACAAGUUCAAAAAGCAGCUCUCCCUUGGGUUCACACUGGAAAGAGGCAACUUGUUUCUCUCCAGAUUCAGACAGAAUAGUUAACUUGCGCUUAACAUUAAAGAACACAUCUGGCUGCUUUUUACUAAAUGUGACAAAGAGGCUUCCCUUGAGCCCCUCUGGCAAGUUUUUAAUUCCAACAAUCUCCAAAAGGACCUGCAGAUGUAGUAAAGACAAAUUAAAAAAAAUAUUAGAAAAAUUACAGCUGUUUUAAUCAUGUCAACUAGUCAGUAAAAAUCAUCAACUGGUGUAGAGAUGCUAGAAAGCAACUGCCAUUUGUGCUACAGUAAUUUCCUCUUAAGAUACUUUUAGCUGUAAAUCCAGCCUAUGACAAUAGAAAAUUUCCAAAUCGUUGUCUCUUGGAAAAAUACUUUAAGAGUAUUCCUCAUAGCCAAUCUAACGAUGUGAAUGAAGACCCAAGUUAAGCACAAACUCGGGUAGUUCUUUUAAAUUCAUCUAGCAUAGGUAAGACAUAGAGCAUAUGAAACAGAUGAUAAAAAGGUGAUUGAAGAUUACCUCCACAAUUUUCACCUCCGGAAGUUGAAUAAUCUUCUGGAUUUCAUUCGGUGCUAAUACAUCUUUUCUCAAGAUAUUUGGCAACAAUGAAGUGAUUGUGAGAGGAGAUGGCCCACUGCCUCUGUACAUUGCACCUGCCUUCCAGUACCUUGUGCCAAAUGUCUCUUCCCACUGCUUGGUAGUUCCAGAAAAUCCAACAUCCAACUUCUUUCCUUUAGUCCUGUCUGAAUCCAUGUCAUCAUGCUCUAAUAUCUUGCCAAGUGCUUCACUUAAAUCUUUACAGUAAGAGAUAGGAUGCAACU
rnacentral:lncRNA from 1 species